GAUGAACGCUGGCGGCGUGCUUAACACAUGCAAGUCGAACGAAGCACUUUAUUUGAUUUCCUUCGGGACUGAAUAUUUUGUGACUGAGUGGCGGACGGGUGAGUAACGCGUGGGUAACCUGCCUUGUACAGGGGGAUAACAGUUGGGAACGGCUGCUAAUACCGCAUAAGCGCACGGCAUCGCAUGAUGCAGUGUGAAAAACUCCGGUGGUAUAAGAUGGACCCGCGUUGGAUUAGCUAGUUGGUGAGGUAACGGCCCACCAAGGCGACGAUCCAUAGCCGACCUGAGAGGGUGACCGGCCACAUUGGGACUGAGACACGGCCCAAACUCCUACGGGAGGCAGCAGUGGGGAAUAUUGCACAAUGGGCGAAAGCCUGAUGCAGCGACGCCGCGUGAGCGAAGAAGUAUUUCGGUAUGUAAAGCUCUAUCAGCAGGGAAGAUAAUGACGGUACCUGACGAAGAAGCACCGGCUAAAUACGUG
rnacentral:rRNA from 1 species